UAUUCAAUGACUAAGUAAAACUACCAAUUC
rnacentral:sRNA from 1 species